rnacentral:rRNA from 1 species
UACGAAGGGGGCUAGCGUUGUUCGGAAUUACUGGGCGUAAAGCGCACGCAGGCGGCUCGAUAAAUUAGAAGUGAAAGCCCUGGGCUUAACCUGGGAACUGCAGUCGAAACUGCGUGUCUUGAGUGCCUGAGAGGAUGGCGGAAUUCCCGGUGUAGUAGUGAAAUACGUAGAUAUCGGGAAGAACACCUGAGGCGAAGGCGGCUAUCUGGCGGUGCACUGACGCUGAGGCGCGAAAGCGUGGGGAGCAAACAGG